UACGUAGGGUGCGAGCGUUGCCCGGAUUUAUUGGGCGUAAAGGGCGCGUAGGUGGCCUGUUAAGUCAGGGGUGAAAGACGGUAGCUCAACUAUCGCAGUGCCCUUGAUACUGAUGGGCUUGAAUGAACUAGAGGUAGGCGGAAUGUGACAAGUAGCGGUGAAAAUGCUAGAUAUGUACAAGACACCUAAUUGCGAAGGCAGCUUACUAUCGUUUAUUAUCACUGAGGCACGAAAAGCGUGGGGGAUCAAAACAGG
rnacentral:rRNA from 1 species